UUCCGGUUGAUCCUGCCGGACCUGACUGCUAUCGGAUUGAUACUAAGCCAUGCGAGUCAUUGUAGUAAUACAAGGCAGACGGCUCAGUAACGCGUAGUCAACCUAACCUAUGGACGGGGAUAAUCUCGGGAAACUGAGCAUAAUACCCGAUAGAACAUUAUGCCUGGAAUGGUUUAUGUUCCAAAUGAUUUAUCGCCGUAGGAUGGGACUGCGGCCUAUCAGUUUGUUGGUGAGGUAAUGGCCCACCAAGACUAUUACAGGUACGGGCUCUGAGGGGAGUAGCCCGGAGAUGGGUACUGAGACACGGACCCAGGCCCUAUGGGGCGCAGCAGGCGAGAAAACUUUGCAAUGUGCGAAAGCACGACAAGGUUAAUCCGAGUGGUUUCUGCUAAAGGAACCUUUUGUCGGUCCUAGAAACACCGAUGAAUAAGGGGUGGGCAAGUUCUGGUGUCAGCCGCCGCGGUAAAACCAGCACCUCAAGUGGUCAGGAUGAUUAUUGGGCCUAAAGCAUCCGUAGCCGGCUCUAUAAGUUUUCGGUUAAAUCUGUACGCUCAACGUACAGGCUGCCGGGAAUACUGCAGAGCUAGGGAGUGGGAGAGGUAGACGGUACUCGGUAGGAAGGGGUAAAAUCCUUUGAUCUAUUGAUGACCACCUGUGGCGAAGGCGGUCUACCAGAACACGUCCGACGGUGAGGGAUGAAAGCUGGGGGAGCAAACCGGAAUAGAUACCCGGGUAGUCCCAGCUGUAAACUAUGCAAACUCAGUGAUGCAUUGGCUUGUGGCCAAUGCAGUGCUGCAGGGAAGCCGUUAAGUUUGCCGCCUGGGAAGUACGUACGCAAGUAUGAAACUUAAAGGAAUUGGCGGGGGAGCACCACAAGGGGUGAAGCCUGCGGUUCAAUUGGAGUCAACGCCGGA
rnacentral:rRNA from 1 species